AAAUAAAUUAACUUGUAAAUAUAACUCACUUCAAGUUGUUUUGUGGUUCCAAUAGCCACCUUAUUAAAACCUUUUCAUAAACAUUAGUCAUAGGUUUGAGUUAUCAUAGUGGUUGAUGUAAAUAUCACCUCAUCCUUAGUGAUUGGAUUAUAAGUCUUCCAUACUUAUUAUAGGGUUAACCUCUCACUAGUAUGUUGAAGCCUUCCUCACAUGGUGGAUUGUUGGUUUAGGUUGAGUUUUCUCCCUUUUGAUAACAAAAGACCUUAAGGCUUUUGAUCAAAUCAAUUCACCAAUCUUUGAGAUUUUUACCCCGAACUACGAGGUUUUGAUCCUCCUUUGUGAUGGUACGUAGGCAAUGGGUUCAUCCAUUACACCAAUCUUUGAGAUUUUUACCCCGAACUACGAGGUUUUGAUCCUCCUUUGUGAUGGUACGUAGGCAAUGGGUUCAUCCAUUCAAACAACAAAAUUUGUAAAUAUAAUCUAUUCUCUUCUCAUCCUCCCAAUCUUUUGUACAUAUAUUUUCACAAAUACCAACCUAUAACACAUAUUCGCAAAAAGGGUUCCCUUAGAGUACUAAGGAUAUUUUGGUUGCGUAAAACCUUCCCAUUUCAUAACCAACCCCCUUACCUAGAUCUCUGACAUUUUUAUUAGUUUUUGAUUUGAAAAAACUUCUUACCUUGGCUUUUGUUCGCUUUUUAGCCUUUCCUUUGGACAAAUAAAAGUGUGGUGGCGACUCAAGUUGUAUGUUUACUUUUGGUUUAAUUAAUAAACCUAAAGGUAACGAAAACCCUGCUACAAUAUCAAGGGGAUGGGUAUAGCUAUUAAUGACCAUAUGCCAUAAGUAUGAAUCAUAACCAAGGAAGAAACUUUCAAUUCUAUCCUUCCAAUAAUCAGACUUAUCUCUAUAAAAACUAGAGGUUUAGCAUAUUAGUGAUCUUUAUCAUUAUUCAAAGCUGCCAUAAUGUGUUUCAACAAAACUGGAUCUUUUACUGACACAGUAAAAUGUUUGAUAUAAAAUGAUCAAUAACAAAACCAGAGCUCUGAUUCCAAUUGAAGGUUCAAGAAACACAAGAAAAAGGGGUUUGAAUUAGAUUUCUAGAUAAAAAACUUUUUCUCAACCCAAAGACACAAACAACAAAUGAACAACAAAAAGAAAGAACACAAAUAUUUUUAUCCUAGUUCGUUGUUAACGAAGUUACGUCCAGUCCACCCGUCUGAGUGAUUUGUCCUUCAACAAGGACUUAAUCCACUAAUCAAAGAAUUUAUUACAACCUCAAUGACAAACUAUCAAAGACCAUUUGAGAAUUUUGACUAUACCCUAGUCUCUCAAUGAAUUUAACCAAAGGUUAAUAAUAAAGAUUUAUAUUUACAAGAUGCUUCUAAAAGAGCAGAUACACAAGUUAAAAUCAAAUAAUACACUUAAGAAAAAAUAUUCAAAGAAGAUGUUCUUGGUGUAUGAGUGUGAGUAACACUUCUUUUCUUUUUCUUUUUCACGUAUGAUUUUUGUGUGUAUGUGUUGUUAUGCAAAUCAAUAGUUUUCCAAUCUUCCAAUACCUCUUUAUAUAUGUGAAAUAAAUUUAUUGGAGGGUGAAAUUGGAAUAUCCUUAAAUAUCUUAGUUCUAAGUAGGUAACUUGUUUCUACAACAAUAGAGUGGCACUUGCAGAAGAUAGUGGGUGAGGAUGAGACGUCAGGAAUGACAUUGAUAGAAUAGUACACUCUUAUUCCUGAUCUUCAGGGUAGUGGAAAGGAUAUUUUCUUUUUGUACUGAUUAUACCUUCCAAGUGUUCGUUUACUUUAGAUCAAUAAAUUUUAGUCAGAGGCUUCACAUUAAAGUUGAUGAAGCUUUAGUAGAGUUUAGAGCCAAUCUAUAGAAGCUGGUGACAAUGAGACUUUAGAGUCUUUGGAGUUCAGUCUUCGGAGAUUUCAUAGGCUUGAAUUAUCAUAAUCUUUAUCAGAGUCAUUUUGGAUGGUUUCUUUGCAUAAGCGUUUGACUUGGUAAUCCAUAAGCUUGACUUUCAUGUAAACACGCUUUUUAUAGUUCAUUUGGUUCAUAAUGUGUCUUUAGUUCAUAGUCUGGCUUGCUCAGAAUUGACUUCUUCAGAGUCAUAAUCUGUUUUCUAUAGUUUGCACACUUAACAAAAAUAGUUAGAGUAUAAAAGUGUUCUCUACACAUAUUAAGCUUUGUUAUCAUCAAAACUAAAGAAUAAUUGCAAAACUAAACUUGUUCCGACAACAUUGAUUUCCAUAGUUGUUCCUUCCCCUCGAUCCCUCUAGAGCGCAUGAUCUAUCUUUUUUGCUGCUUCAAGGUCGACACACAAGACAUAUGGUUCUCCAUGUAGGUUUGAUUUUUGAGCUUUAAGUCCACGGGUGAGGCUACGACACCCAAUGUGGAAAAGAAGGUCCUACCCAAGAUGCAAUUAUAAAGGGUCUUGCACGGGAUGACCAAUAAUUGAGUGUUGAUGGAUUGGAGGUCUAUUCUCUAUCCUAUAAAUACCAUGAAAUUCAUAUAUCCUCAAGGAUGAGUGGUCAUUCCAAUGAACACUUGUAGAUCUGAACCAUCAUAUGGUAUUAAGCUCCCUUUGUCUUAACCCGUUUUUUUCAAAUAGAUAUGAGUAAAGGAUAUUAUCACAUGAACUUCCCCCAUGAAUUAAAAUUCACGAGAAGUUGAACUAUCAUAUGAUAGCCAUGAUUACCAUGGUAAACAAUUCAUUAGAGAUGCCAUCAACCUUAUCAGGCUGUCAGAAUCCCAACAUAGGUCGGUCGGGGACCUUCGAUGAUGAACUAUCUUUGUUUAUAUAGACAUCCAUCAUUUUGGAGAUUUUCCUUUUGACUGUCCCUUGGAAUGGAGGUUCAUCCAUGUCGAUGAUGGCAACAAUAUACAUGUGUUUGCCUUUGUCAAUUUCCCUUCUUUUGUUGUUGGGUCCGGCUUCGGAGGUCUUUGUAAAGGACUUGGUUUUUGGAGAUUCCUCUCGCUCUCAUUUUCCCUCCUUGACAUAUUCGGACAACCAUCCUUUUUUUAUCAGUGCUUCAAUCGUUUCUUUAAGUUUGAUGCAAUCAUCUCUAUUAUGAUCGUGUCCUUCGUGGAAGCAACAAUACUUUGAUUUAUCCAUCCAAGCUGACUCCCUGAUAGGGUAAGGAGAUUAAAUCUCGACUUUCCUGAACUUAGUGUUAUAACAUUCUUGGUAAAAAAAUUCCCAGUAAGUGUUUAAAGGCGUGUAUUUAUUGCAUCUAUUGUAUGCCUUCCUAGAAAUGUUCUUUUUUUCCUACAGGAUUCCUUCCCUGGAGUACGGUCAAAACUUGCUUUGGCAACUGAGGUUGGGUUGUUGAAGCAAGUAUUUAGCUUCUCUUCCAACAUGAUGUAAGUUUGGGCCAGGUUAAGCAUCUCCUAAGUCAUUAUUACCUUCUUGUUUCCUAGAUUGGUGUGGAAAGGAUGGUCGCCGAGGAGGCCAUUUUUGAAGAUCUAGCACUGUAGGGAUUCUUCGCCUCCCUUUACCUCUAGCGCAUCCUGAGUGAAUCGAUCGAUGUAGGACUGUAUGAUUUCAUUCUCUCCUUACAUGAGUCUACUCACGACUGCUAUAGUAUUUGGUUGCCUCUUCCGGGCGGUGAGGCGAUCACAAAAAUUCGCCCAUGAUUCGAUAAAACCAUUGAAGAUACCAUUAAACCAUAAUCUAGAUGGUAUGACCAAGGUUAACACUAACAUCUUGCACUUGGAAGUGUCAUCAGCAUUGUAUUAAUUGAGUCAGUCAUUGACAAGUUAGAUGUGUUCGUCGGGGUCUUCCUUUCCAUUGUACUCUUCCAAUUUGGGAGGUUUUUGCAUUGACUUGGGGAUCUUUCUUUCUAAGAUCUGGGCAUAUAAGGGAUCUUUAGACUCACCUUGAUCAACUAGUGUUCGUCACAUAAGGGAUUAUAUAUCAUAUAGGUUAAACUAUGCUUAUAAUGAUUUAAUGUAUAAGCUUAGGUCGUUGGUGUAUUAAAUCUUAAGGAAUCAUCAUGAAGUCAAUUAUGCAUUAUUAAGAACAUCCAAGUAAUUUGUUUUUAAAUUGCCUUGUUUAAAGCGACUUUGGUUGUCAUGUAAAUGAUUUGCACUAGAAGUGAUCUAUCUCAUGGUUACUUCAUGUAUCAUUUCAUGUGGCUUGAUUCAUUGAGAUGCUUCCAAGUUCUCGUUUUAAUGUAUUGCUUACACUCCUUUUUUUUUUAAAUCUCUGAUUUCGUUAUUGUUAGUUCUAAGAGUUGACAGUAAUUUUGGUAAAACAAAGAGUGUUCACAAGAUGUUGCAUGUGAUGUCUUAACAUAAGAUACCCUUGUACCUGCUAGAGGUUUAAAAACAUAAUUAUGCAGGAUUGUUUCAGGAUGUCAUACACGAUGUCAUGACAUCUAAUAUUAUGUAUCUGCUGAAUAUUUAAAAUGGAAUUAUGCAGGAUUGUUCCAGGAUGUCAGACCCGAUGUCAUGACAUCUGUACACAUAACAUUCAGUGUGAAUGUUAUGUGUUAUGUGAUUGCGCUUUUAAUGGCAAUCUAUGUAUGAUUGAAGAUCUAAUUUGCAAACGCAUUCAAUCAUUAAUUACAACGUGAUUUAACUUAUUUUCCAAAAAGAUCUAACCAGCUGUCGUAAGAAGAUUUGAUUGGAAGAUAGUUUUAGGGUUUUAUGAUGUCCAAGCCCAGCUGAAUGCUUCUAUAAAAAAGGACAUGGAAAACCUGAUUUGAUACACAAGAAAUACUGAGCGAAAUAUUGAGAGAGAAUAAGGGUUUGUGUCUUGUGUGGUCGUGUGACUUGUAAGCCAUUCAAUUCAUCCAUAGAAUGAUUGAAUUAGUUUGAUUUUUGAGUUGUAAUUUGUCACUCAACGCUUUUAAGCAUGAGUGGUGGUCUACUUGAUUGAAGCUGCUAAGUAAGAUCAAGUGUGUGUCUACUUGAUUGAAGUUGCUAAGUAAAAUCAAGUGUGUGUGCUUUGAAGAGUGUCUUCUUUCAAAGGAAUUAUUGUUUAAUAAUCACUGGUGUGAGGAGGGGGAGUGAGUGGGAUCGCUCAUAUCUAAGAGUUCUUAGGUAGAAGUCAUACGGGUAGAGAUUAGGUAAAAAGACUGUAACUUGUGGAGUUUUAUCUAAAGUCGACACUGAUUCUAAUUUAGUGAAUUCCCUCCUGACUUGGUAGCCCCCAGACGUAGGUGAGAUUGCACCGAACUGGGUUAACAAUUGCUUGUGUCUUUGCUUAACUAUGUAUUCUAUCUUCUAUCUGUUUGUAUAUUCAGAUAUUAGUGUCGUGACAUUACCUCGACAUCUCAUAUCUGAUACCAGAAUUUCAAUGGUAUCAGAGCAGGCAUCCUGCUCUGGUUCUGGGUGAGAUCUUAGGGACAAUACUUUCUGGUAACUAUGGAAGAGAUGAGAUCGUAUGCACAGGGACGACCAUUUUUGGAUGGAUGCUAAACUAUGACUGAUUGGGAAACCUCGAAUGUAAGCUUUCCUAAAAUCUCUUGAUAUAAAGGCUUGGAAAGGUGGGUUUAACAGCUGGGAACCUCCAGUAAUUAUUAAGAGGAGAAAGCCAUCAACUGAUAAGAAGCUUGCAAGACAAUGGUCCAAGGAGGAGGAUGUAUCUAGACUUGUUAAUUCUAAGCAUUGAAUGCCAGAUAUUCAAUGGAGUAGACACGAAUAUCUUCAGAGUUGCGUAAAGCAACUGUGAGGUGGCUAAAGAUGCUUGGGACAUUCUCAAAACCACUCAUGAAGGCACCUCUAGAGUGAAGAUGUCUAGACUACAGCUGCUCACCACCAAGUUUGAAAAUUUAAGGAUGCUAGAAGAUGAAAAUAUUCAUGAAUUCCAUAUGAGUAUCCUUGAAAUUGCUAAUGCCUCAGGAGCCCUGGGAGAGAAGAUGUCAGAUGAAAAAUUAGUAAGAAAAAUACUCAGGUCACUCCCUAAGAGAUUUGCUAUAAAGGUGACAAACAUAGAAGAGUCUCGAGACAUCUCCAAUAUGAGAGUUGAUGAGCUAAUUGGUUCCCUCCAAACAUUUGAGAUGGGAAUGUGUGAUGGAUAUGAAAAGAAAACCAAAAGCAUAGCCUUCAUGUCAAACACAGAGGAGGAAAGUAGUCAGGAGGUUGAUGAAGAUCUGGCAAAUGAUGUAGCAAGGCUGGGAAGGCAGUUCAACAGACUGUUGAAAAAGAUGGAUGUAAGUUCUAAGGCUAAUGUCAAGAACAUUUCAUCUGACAUCAGUAAAUCCAAUAAUGCUGGAAGAAGAACAAGGCCAGAUGAUAAGCCCAAAGAAGGAAAAGGAGUACAGUGCCAUGAAUGUGAUAGGUAUGGACACAUUAGAACUGAAUGUGGAACCUACCUCAAGAAACAGAAGAUGAGUCUUGAUGCCACUUGGUCUGAUGAGAGUGAAACAAAAGAGUCUGCAAAUCUGGUGACUGCCUUGACAGGAAGAUGGGAUUCUGAUGAAGACUCAAGUGAUGAUGAAGUAACCUUUGAAGAGUUGUCCACUACCUAUAGAAAGUUGUGUCACAAAAAUGCAGAGGUGUGUAAAUAGGUUGAAAGCCAGAAGAAGGUAAUAACUCAACUUGAGAAUGAGAAGGCAGAACAUGUGGAAACCAUCUCCAAGUUAAAAACUGAAGCUGUGUUCUUGAAUUCUAAACUGGAAGAGAUGACCAAGUAUGUAAGAAUGUUAAACAAUGGAUCUGACUCCUUAGACAAGAUUCUCCAGACUGGACAAAUAACAUGAGACAAAUCGGGUAUUGGGUUUAAUGAAUCUAAGCCUGAGUGCAGUUACACUGGUGGCAAACCUAAAUCCAAACUUAAGUGCAGCCAUAUUAAAAGCAAACCUGAGAUGUCACAUCAUAUGUCACAACAUCAAAAAGGAAGACAACAGAAAGGGAAACACCAAAGAUGGAGAUGCCAUUACUGUGGAAGAUUUGGCCACCUGAAGCCCUUCUGCUAUAAGCUGUAUGGUUAUCCUAGCCAUGUUCAUCAUCAGACUCACUAUCAAACUAGACCCAAACAUCACAGGCCUGUCAACAAAAAGCAAUGGGUUCCCAAGACUAAUGUUGCAAGUUUAAUAGCUCACACUUCCUUUAGAGUUUCAGCCAAAGAAGAUUGGUAUUUUGACAGUGGUUUUCUCCAGACACAUGACUGGAAACAAAAACCUACUAACUGGCCUUCAUCCUCAUGCCAUAAGUUAUGUAACCUUUGGUGAUGGAGCAAAGGGUAAAACCAAGGGGAUUGGUAAGCUUGAUUACCCUAGAGUUCCUGACCUUGACAAUGUCUUACUGGUUAAGGGAUUAACUGCUAAUCUAAUAAGCACCAGUCAACUGUGUGACCAAGGUCUAAAUGUUAACUUCACUAAAACUGAAUGUCUGAUUACUAACAAAGAAAGUGAAGUGAUCAUGAAAGGAGUCAGGACCAAAGACAAUUGUUACAUGUGGAGUUCUCAAAUUGGUUAAACUGAAUGUCUGAUUACUAACAAAGAAAGUGAAGUGAUCAUGAAAGGAGUCAGGACCAAAGACAAUUGUUACAUGUGGAGUUCUCAAAUUGGUUAUUCUUCAAAGGGUACCUUAGUCAAAGAAGAAGGAGUAAAGACAUGGCAUCAAAGAAUGAGCCAUCUGCAUCUUAAAGGUAUGAAGAUGAUUAUAGCUGCUGAAGUUAUUAGAGGAACUCCCAAAUUGAAGAUUAAUGAAAGAAAAGUCUGUGGGAAAUGUCAGACAAGGAUGUCACACCAGAAACUCAGACAUGACAUCACUUCCAAGGGUUUGAAACUUCUCCAUAUGAAUUUGAUGGGACCCAUGCAGGUGGAAAGCCUUGGUGGAAAGAAGUAUGCAGUGGUGGAUGACUUCUCCAGAUACACCUGGACCAAAAAUAAACCUGAUGUGGUUGAAAUCUUCAAAGAUUUUUGUCUGAAACCUCAAGGAGAAAAGCUCAUGGUGGCUCAAACAGAUGUGGAUAAUAUUGGGUUUGGUAGGAAGUCAGAUUAGAUGGUAGAACAUGUUGCUAGUCAAAAGCAGUCUGAAGUUGGGAAGAGCUUUGUUGGACUUGGGCUACAAGUCAAGCAGAUAGAAGAGUCUAUUUGUCUAUCUCAAAGCAAAUGUGCCAAGAACAAUGUUAAGAAGAUUGGCAUGGAGAGUGCAAGGACUCCUUCUCCUACACAUUCGGAAGUAUUCAAAGAUGAAAAUGGUGUUUGUGCUAUAUAUCAAGCUGAAUACAUAGCAGCUGGAAGUAGCUGUUCUCAACAAGGUCAGUUGAAACUAAUGUUGACUGAAUAUAAUCUCACACACGAUGUCAUGAUAUUGUACUAUGAAAACCUGAGUGCUAUAACUAUUUCCAAAAAUCCUAUUCAGCACAGCAGGACUAAGCACAUUGAUAUUUGUCAUCACUUCAUUAGAGAAUUUGUGGAAGAAAAAAUCAUAGCACUAAAGCAUGAAUGCAAUUAGCUGACAAAUUUGCAAGGGCUCUGAAUGUUAAUCAGUUUAAAUAUUUAAGAGGGAAAUUGGGGAUUGUUAUUCAUGAGAAGUUAUAGCAAUUAAAGUGGAGUGGAAAAGGUAAUAAAAAUAUUGUCUGUCCACUAAAAGGAAAGUGCCACAUUUAUGGUAAAUCAUUACCUAGUAUUGGAACUAGUAUCUAUGUCAUUUCCACACGCUACCUCAACACAACCAUUUCCAUCUUCAUCCAACUUCUCAGACAACCUCUGUUAGGGCAAAAAGAUUUCUUUCAAAAGUCCAACAAAAUGUCAUAACAUCCCUCAUCCUCAGGAUCAAAACCCACUCACAAGGCCAGGACUCCCUCCAUGGAGUUUCUAGAUGAAGAUAUUUUGGAGGUCAUUCCCCUCUCUGUUAUUCCAGGCGACGCCCCUGGCCCUUCUUUCACGACUGGAAAUAAUCAAGGUAACAUUCCUGAUAACCCUCCUCCUAAGGAUGACAUGCACUAUACAGAUCGUGUCAUUAGGAACCCGGUAACUAGGAUUCUUAAUGAAGGUCAUGCAGUCAAGGGUGUUUCAACCCCUCUGUCUAGAAGGUACCCCUCUCUUGAGGUGGAACCUCAAACUAAGAAAGAUGAUGAUUCAUCUAGAUCAGAAAAAGACAUUGCUGCUGAGGGACUAUGCUCUCUAAGAAAAAACAUGUCUAGCAAAGAUCCUAUAGAUGUUUCUCAUUCUAAGAAGCCUAACACUGCUGAGAGAGUAAUUGAUUUGGAGGAAGAGAGUUCAGAAGAAGAAGAUGACACCUUGGUUCAUCAUUUGAAACCAAGUGUUGCAAGGAAAAUGAAGACCAGGAAAGGUAAGACUGUGGUUGAGAUGUUGACAGCCAGAACUAGGAAGAUGACUGCUGGUGUAGGACCCUUUAAAUCAUGGAGUAAAGUAGAGGUCAAGAAGAGGAAGAUCAGAGAAAGCUCUGAUUCUGAAGAUGAUGUCGAAGACGAUGUCCCAGACAUCUCUCCUGCUAAAAGGCAUACUGUUAAAAAGUCUCCAGCUAAGGUUGCAGCUGUACAUUUGGACAACAUUUCUUUCCAUCUGGAAGAUGGUGCUUCCAAGUGGAAGUUUGUUAUGCAAAAGAGAGUUGCUGUUGAGAGGGAGCUAGGGAAGGAGGCUGUAGAAGUGAAGGAAGUCAUGGAACUAAUCAAGAUUGCUGGUCUGAUGAAAACUGUUGUUGCUUUGCCCCAAUGUUUUGAAGGAUUAGUAAAAGAGUUUGUGGUUAAUAUCUCAGAGGAUAUUUCUGACAAGAGUAGCAAGGAAUUGUGCAAGGUCUUUGUGAGAGGUAGAUGUGUAAGGUUUUCCCUAACCAUAAUCAAUAAGUUCCUAGGGAGAGGAACUGAAGGAGGUGUGGGGUUAGAGGCUACGGACAAUGAAGUCUGUAGGCCUAUUACUGCUGGCCAAGUCAAGGAAUGGCCUAGCAAGAAGCAUCUUUCAGCUGGCAAAUUAAUUAUUAAAUAUGCCAUCUUGCAUAAGAUUGGUUCAGCCAACUGGGUGCCAAUAAACCAUAUCUCAACCAUCUCUAAUGGUCUUCGAAGAAUCAUCUAUGCUAUUGGAACCAGGCUCAACUUUGAUUUUGGAAGGUUCAUGUUUAAACAAAUUGUUAGACAUGCCUCCACUAAUGCAGUAAAGAUGCCUAUUGCCUUUCCAUCUAUCAUUUGUGGAAUUAUUUUAAGCUAGCAACCUGGCAUUCUCAACACAAGUGAUAUUCCCAGCAGAAGGAAGUCUCCACUGUCCAUUCACUACAAGUUAUUUGAAGGGAGCCAUGUCAAUGAUGUUGUCAUGACAUCUGCAAGGAAAGAGCCAGCCUCUCAAGGUGGCUUGAUUUCUCAAUUGAAGGAAACUUGUAAGGAGCUGGAUACUGGUAUUAGGGUUGCCAAGGCUAGGAAGGAGGCUUUAGAGGUUCUCAUUAGUAGCUUGGAGCAGGAAGAGAUGGAUAAGGUUAGUACAACCAAGGAGUCAGAUGCCCAUACCUCAAGUGAGAGGUCCAAUUCUCAAUCUAGUGGCUGUUCUGAAUCUGAAGGUGAAGAAGAUGCUACUUCCUCAGACUAAGCUGUGAUGGUCCCCCUGUUAUGAAGAUUGUGUGUGAUGUGUGCCGUUAUGAAGACGGGUCCCCCUGUUGGUUUGGCUGUUCUGGAUGCUGUUAUGGAUGUUUUGGAAGCUUGGAUGUUUUGUUGUGUUUCUGUUGAAAUGUUUGUAUUUUGUGGCAGUCCUUACUGAUGCCUUGAUGUAAUAUUUGGGCUCUUUAUGAGUUCCAUGGAUUUCUAAUUAUCUCAGCUAUUGCACCUGUGUAUAAUUAUGGUUUGUAUCUCUUAACAUUUAUGUUUUAACAUUUUAUAUGUUAUAAUAUCUCUUGUGACAUUCUCUGCUAGGGUGAUUGACAUUUAUUUUGUCUAAUUGGUCACCUUUGGUCUAUUUUGACUAAAAAGGGGGAGAAGUGAAUAUGUGGAGAGUUGCAGUUAAAUAUGUGGAGUUGUGUGGAGAUGUAUGUAUGUGCUGGUGUACAGCUAAUGUUGAAGGAGAUGUUUGAUGUAAGACAGAAUGUUGUUUUGUUUACAGAUGUUGGAGGAGAUGUCUGAUGUGGUGCACAGGUGAUGUUGAAGCAGAUGUCAGAGGGUGACUCUGAUUGUUAUAGGUGUUGUUAUUACAAAUGCUGUUAUUGUUAAAGGAGAUGUAUGUGUUGUACAAACUUAGGGGGAGAAGAAGUACCCUCAUGUGCAUUUGUGUGUUUUACUAGUUGCUAAUAUAGCUAGUAAUUCUGUUUGCUUCUGCUGCUUCUUAAACACUGUUAUGUUGUUUAACUACUAAUGUGUUUUUCUUGUGAACAAAAUGGACAGAUAUAUGUUUUAGUCAAAACUUUGCCAAAGGGGGAGUUUGUUGGUUCUAAGAGUUGGCAGUAAUUUUGGUAAAACAAAGAGUGUUCACAAGAUGUUGCGUGUGAUGUCUUAACAUAAGAUAUCCUUGUAUCUGCUGGAGGUUUAAAAACAUAAUUAUGCAGGAUUGUUUCAAGAUGUCAUACACGAUGUCAUGACAUCUGAUAUUAUGUACCUGCUGGAUAUUUAAAAUGGAAUUAUGCAGGAUUGUUCCAGGAUGUCAGACCCGAUGUCAUGACAUCUGUACACAGAACAUUCAGUGUGAAUGUUAUGCAGGAUUGUUCCAGGAUGUCAGACCCGAUGUCAUGACAUCUGUACACAGAACAUUCAGUGUGAAUGUUAUGUGUUAUGUGAUUGCGCUUUUAAUGGCAAUCUAUGUAUGAUUGAAGAUCUGAUUUGCAAACGCAUUCAAUCAUUAAUUACAACGUGAUUUAACUUAUUUUCCAAAGAGAUCUAACCAGCUGUCAUAAGAAGAUUUGAAUGGAAAAUAGUUUUAGGGUUUUAUGAUGUCCAAGCCCAGCCGAAUGAUUCUAUAAAAAGGGACAUGGAAAACCUGAUUUGAUACACAAGAAAUACUGAGCAAAAUAUUGAGAGAGAAUAAGGGUUUGUGUCUUGUGUGGUCGUGUGACUUGUAAGCCAUUCAAUUCAUCCAUAGAUGAUUGAAUUGGUUUGAUUUUUGAGUUGUAAUUUGUCACUCAAAGCUUUUAAGCAUGAGUUUGUGUCUACUUGAUUGAAGCUGCUAAGUAAGAUCAAGUGUGUGUCUACUUGAUUAAAGUUGCUAAGUAAAAUCAAGUGUGUAUCUUUGAAGAGUGUCUUCUUUUCAUAAGGAAUUAUUGUUUAAUAUCACUGGUGUGAUUGAUGGGGAGUGAGUGGGAUCUCAUAUCUAAGAGUUCUUAGGUAGAAGUCACACGGGUAGAGAUUAGGUGAAAAAGACUGUAACUUGUGGAGUUUACUGAGAGUCUUUGAACUGAUUCUAUUUAGUGGAUUUCCUUCCUGGCUUGGUAGCCUCCAGACGUAGGUGAGUUGCACCGAAUUGGGUUAACAAUUGCUUGUGUCUCUUGCUUUACUAUUCUUUAUCUUUAUCCUGUUUGUAUUAUUCAGAUAUUAGUGUCGUGACAUUACCUUCGACAUCUCAUAUCUGAUACCAAAAUUUCAGUUAUAUGGGACCUAAAAAGUUUUCAAAUUAUCUAAAAGGAUUUUGGGUCUAUUCAACCCCUCUUCUAGACAUUGUUGUUUCCAUAUUAUCACCAAAAACCUCAAGGUUAGCACUCCAACACUCAAGUCAGUAUGUGAAAGAGUAGAGAGUAUUCAAAUUGUGUUUGAAAUUUGUUACUUGAAAUUGAGUCAUUGCCUCUAUAUAGAAGGAAGAAUAACGACAUCGCUAUCUUUCAUACGUGGAAUAUGGAGGACUAUUAGAUGUGCCUGAGUCGUAGAUCCCCUACAAUGAGGUGAAAAAUAGUCUUGUGGUAAGGAGAAAUUUAUAUAACAAAACAGUAUGGUCAGUUGAUAUGUUAUAGCCCCAAGGUGGCCUAUCUUUAGAUGGUCGGUCCUAGUGAGAUGUGGUCAGCCCAAAACAUAAUCCAACAGAGUAAAAUCAAGUUCAUCUUCUAAGUGCUAAUCAAGAAAAAUCUAGCUACUCAUAUCGAUACAAAUAAUUACCAUGAGUUUAGAUGAAAACUACAUAAACAUCAAUGAAGAAUAUGGUCUCCAAUGCCUCCAAAACUCUAAAAAAACAUUGUUGUAGAACUCCUUGCCGCCACUUUCUAUGCAGAAAUCAAGAACCCUUUGAAAAAUGGCCUCCUUUUCUAUUUAAACAGCAAAAAACAUGUAUGACAAGUGAGCCAUUGCAGCAACUAUCAACAGCUUCGCGGUCGUGAUAACUCUUUAUUGCAACCAUGAUAGUGGCAUCGCAAACUCGAGAAAUCCAAGGGGUAAUUGCUUAAUUUUACUUAUGUUUCUUCUUUUUUUUUAUUAGUCCAUAAUUCCUUUCUCUUCUUCUAUUAUUAUCAUUUCUUUUUCACUUUAGCUCAUGUUUUGGUUGAAAUUACAUCCAUUCUAUCGAAAAUGCUCGUAAACAUUAUGAAAUAACAGAGUGUUAUCAUAGGUCCACACCGUGCCGCUGUAAAGGAGAUCGUCACCACAGUUCAAGAUCUUCAAAUCUCCAACUGUAUCCAUUUCUGGUUCUUGGAUGGAAAACCAUGGUAUGACAAAACUUAGCAUCUGAAUAACGAUGUAUGAAUAUCAUCCUAAUGGAUGGAUUACCCCAAAGUAUUGUAUUGUGUGAAUGAUCACAUGUAUUUUACCUUUUCCAUGUAUAGGAAUUUUACGGCUUCCCACACCUUGUAUAGCCCAAGAUCAGAUGUAAGUCUUACCUUGUACUAGUAGGGUCAAAUAUCUCAUAAUACUAGACAUAAUUUGUGUGGUUCUAAGAGUUCAUUAACUAUAUCAUGAUACUAGACUUGACUUGACCUAAGAGGUACUAGUAGGAUGUUAACAGGCCUGGUGUUAGACAUUAGUAGAGGUGUACAUAGGUGUAGGAGAUAGCCCUUAGAAUAUCAUAUGCAUGUACUAUGUGGAUGAUCACAUAUAUGAGAUAAAAAUGAGAAUUGGGCACUGUUAGGGAAAACUUGGAUUAUUUCAAGAUAGGAAAAUCAUGAGUGAUGAGUUAUGAGGACAUGUAUUGUCAUGGAAAACCUAAAUUAAGCAUAUCAAAUAUAGGCAAAUCUUGAUAAAUCGGUCAACGAGAUAGGCUAUUGUAUCUCCUUAUUUAUUCUAGUCUGCCUAAGUCCCAUAACUACGUUGGGUUAUAGUUGAGGUGAAUCAAAUAUGUGAAGUGUAGUAAAUCUUAUCUUGGACUAGUUGUUGUUUAUCUAACCAUGUGUGAGACCAUAGAACUACGCUAGAUGUUCAUUGAUUAGAUAAACAGUAGCUAGUGGCUAUGUUGUGGCAUCAAAGAGUUGUCACUUUUUGGUUUUCAGUUCAAGAUGUUAAGUAUCUCUGAUACCCUUAGGACUUCUUAGCAACUUGAGAAUACUUUUAUGGUCAGUGAGAUGUUUCGAGCUAGUUAGCUGAUACUCUUCUGUAUGGGAUGGGUGUGAGGUACCAUAAUGAACAUUUCAAGUAGACCUUGACCUAGGUAUAAGGGUAACGAGAGACUAAAUGGUUUAGAUUGGGAAGCUCACUAAUAUUAGUAUCUCAUCCUACAUAGUUGUUUAUAUUUUCAAGCAAACAUGUACUUGGAUUGAAUUUGUAGUGAUUGAUCUGGCACUAAAGACUAGAUGAAACGUCCUUCUUCUAUGUUGAAAAUUUUGUCUAGAUGUUGAUACAUUAGUUUAUUUGUUAUAUUAUUCUGAAUUUUAAUCUGGCCCACUUUCAUAUAUUUGCAUUGAUGUAUCAAUAUAUGUAAUCUUAUAUUUGUGAAAGUCACCAAUCAAGGGAGACACAAGGGUUCCCACCCCCAUAAAAUGAUGGCUGGCACUACCUUUAUAAUAUGGGGGCUCGCCUUCCUAAUAAGACACGUGUAAAAUGCCAUUAUCUCUCUAUCAGAUAUGCAUAUUAAGUCAUACCACGACUCUUGAAGAAUAGGUAUCAUCAACUUUCCUCAGUCAAAGGGGAGCAAUUACCACUUUUAAGGGUUUCCCAAGUAUUAGGCUCAAAGACCUCUAUAAAUACCUAUUCCCAUAACGGGAGACCAAGAUCUCAUAACUUACACAAAAUACCUAAAGUAACAUGCUUGUAUAAAUAGCCUCUCACCUCACGUAAUUUUUUCUCUCAUAUCACUGUAAACACUAUAACACCACCUUACAGGGCUUUCCGCUGCUGUGGGCAAGUCCUUACCACCCUAAAAUUUUACAUACCUACUAAGGCUUAUGACUAUCCCCUACCCUUGUAGAGAUACCUCACAUAACUGUAAUUGUUUUCCAGUAUAGUGGCGCCCACCAUGGGCCCCAAUGAAACUAACAUGGGCUACACCUUCUUCUACAAUCAUCAUACUCAGUGUUACCCUCCAUUCAUGUACCUAGCAUUCUCAUCCAUGGUCAACAAGAGAUCCACAUUACCUACGCUAGACGGUACCGGUGGUAGUGAUGGCUCUAAUUCCUUGGCGGAGAUGCAUGCUACCAUGGACAAAUUAGACUGUCAUAACAAAUCCUGAAAGACAGCGUCUUCAACAUCCAACAUCACCAACAAGAGACCAAUCCCAUAUAGGAGAUGAAAGUGAUGAAUCCUUAGACACUCUCAAAUGAAAUAUGGGAAGGACCUGCCUCUGAAGCAUUCAAUCCCCCCUCUUUGGAAAAGUUUGAUGAGCGAACUACCUCAUACGAGCAUGUCACAUCCAUUAACACUCAAACGACCAUCAUUGGAGCGUCUGACUCCUUGAAGUGCAAAUUACUAUCCGACACCUAUGUGGAUGCCGCUCGACGCUGGUAUAUGGGUCUACCCCGAUCUUCCAUCACCAAUUAUCAGGAGUUGGCGAGGAAACUAGUACACCAGUUCGCUGUUAGCCGCCACAGAAAAAUGUCUACCACCAAAUUGUUCAACAUAAGAUAGGGUCCCUUAGAAUCAUUGAGAGACUAUCUCGCACAUUCUAAUGAAGCCACCAUGAAGGUUGUCCCACCAAACCAAGAAAUGUUUAUGGGAGUAUUUCAUAGUGGAGUUAAGGCGGGAUAAUUUAAUAAGUCUCUCACCUAGAAGACAACAUUAUCGCUAGUAGAUGUGAUCACUAGGGCAUAAUGUUACAUAAAAGGAUAUGAGAGUAACAUUUAGAAGAAUGCACGAGACAUCAAAUAACGUGUCCCUAAUGCCAAAGGUCCACACCACGAAAGGAAGAGUAAUUAUACAUCUCCCGUCAUGGACAAUAUUAUGUUCAACAGAAUAUGCAAUACGAUGGAGGGCUUCACGCCUCUGAACAGUCACUACGAACAGAUCAGACACGAGGUUCUUCACCUGCACAACAUCCAUGUGCCUUCAACUCCGAAAACUGAUAUAAUGGGUCCCGAACAUGGUAGAUGGUGCAAUUUACAAAGAGUUAAAGGACACCACAUUGAGGAUUGUUACCAACUCAAGAAAGAGAUAGAGAGGUUGAUCUAGAAGGGACAUCUCAAGAAGUAUGCGAAACAAGAUAUGUGAUUCUCAUCGAUUUCAAACUUCAAUUCAACGUAAAUUUCAGAAAGGAAAUCAAUCACACACCUCACUACACUCGUAUUUCCAUGAAAAUUUAAUCGGAGCUUUGGAUACCAAUUGUUGGAAUUCAACAAUGAACAUCCGUUAACAAUGAAUAAGAAGAUAAAAAAGAUGAAGAAUAAUUGCAGAGGAGAGAGAAUGAAAUGUAACUACCUUUCAAAGCUUUCUCAAAAUGCAAGAUUGUGUUACAAAUCCAAAUAACAUUUGGUUUUAUACAUUAACCAAAUGAAACUAAAAUCAAAUGCAAACUUAAUAUAAACUUAAAUGCAAAUGAAAUUCAAAACUAAACUAACUUGAAUGUUGAAUUACAUUCAACAGUUUUGCAUUUAGGUAUGUUUUAUGCUUAUGUUUAGUUUUAAUUUUCUUACUUGUUAAAAAAUUUAUAGAUGAGAAUUUAGAAAUUAAUUUAAUUUUUUAAGUAUUUUUAAAUUAUUAUUAUUUAUUCCUUCAAUAUCAAAAUAGGUGUUCUCUUUAUGAUUUUUAUAUUUUUUAAUAUAAUAAUUAAUUAUGUUGAUUUUAAUGAUAAAACAAAUUAUUAUUUAUUAAAAUAAUUUUAUCAAUAAUAUAUAGUAGAAUAAUUAUAUGAUUUAAAAUAUACUCCCUCCGUUCCUUUUUAAGUGUCUCUUUUUUGAAAAAAAAUUGUUCUUUUUUAAGUGUCACUUACAAAAUUCAAGAUAGUAUUAAUUGCAUUUUGUCAAAAUUACCCCUAGCUAAUUAUUACAGAGAAAUAAAAAGUAAAAUGAAUGUAAUAAAUAGUUAAGGGUAUUAUAGGUAAAAUGAGAAUUGUUGUUGAAAAAGUAACAAUAAUCAUUAACUUUCUUGGUAUGUGUAAAAAAUAAAAAAGUGUCACUUAAAAAGGAACAGAGGGAGUAAUAAAUUAAAAUAAGUUAAUAGAAAAAAUAAUAAAUAGCAUAUCAAUAUUAUAAAUGUUAAUUUUUUAAAGAGACAAAUAAUAAGAGAAAAAUAAAAAUAAAAAAGACGAAAUCGUAAGUCAAGAGGAAGUAUACUUAAAAUGUCAACUCGGAUCCCAUAUUUUUUUAGUCACAAACGACUUUGAGUCUUCCCUAUAUUUUUCAAACUUUGAAUAAACAUGUCAUUAAAUUUGCGUCUUUAAAUUUUAAACUAAACAAAGAGAGAGAAUAACCCACCACCUUCUUGGAACCCAAAACUGACCCGUAAAUUGUAAUUAUCUCUAAUUUUACCGUUCAUUCUCUCUCUCUCUAGAAUCACUGUUAACAAAAAACCCAAAACUGACCCGUAAAUUGUAAUUAUCUCUAAUUUUACCGUUCAUUCUCUCUCUCUCUAGAAUCACUGUUAACAAAAAAAAAAAAAAAAAAGUAAAAAUACACUUUUCGUGUUACAAUUGAUUAUGAUAAUAAAGUUUUAAUUAAGUUUUGAACCCUUUCAACUUCUUGUUCCUUAACCUUUCUUACGGCCGUCACCAGCAAAUUCGUAGAAAAUUAGUACUCCACACUAUUAUUUCGUAAUCAUGAAAUUUGAAUAUUAAAAAUAGUUUGAUUUUUUAUUUUAAAAAUUUAUAAAAUAAUAUAAAUGGGUGAUGAUAAUGAAUGGACAGUGUAAAUUCUUUUACAUUGACAGUACAUAAUAAUUAAUCUCUAUUAAAAUUCUUUUAGAAUUAUGCUUUUGUAAAUAUAGCAUUUCAUCAAAAUUAUUUUAAAUUUUUUAAUAAAUAUAACAUUUCAUCGAAAUUUACAAAUGAAUGGACUAGGAUUUUUUUAUAGUAAGUUAUUCGUUCUUGCAUUAAAAAAUAAAUGAUUAUUCGAUAAAAAUUAAAUAAUUCAAAAUUAAAAUUAAUAAUUUAAAAAAGUCAAAUUUAUUUUUUACCAUGCGAUCAAAAUUAGAGUUGAUAUAGUUUCACAGCAAAAAUACAAUAAUGAUUAGACCAUAAAUGAUUCAAUUUUAAAAUAAAUAACAUGAAAAUGAUAAUAAAAUUUAAAUAUGAUUCGAUAUUAUUAAUAUUUUAUUUAUAAUAAGUUGUAAUGUCAUGUCAUAUCAUCAUCAUUAACACAAUUUAUGCAGCAAAACAUAAACUAGUUAAUAUCAUCAUUAACACAAUAUUUUAUUGAGUAAAAUGACUUUGUGCAGCAAACAUAAACUAGUUAAUAAAAAUGAAAUGAAAUAAAAAACCUAUUUUAUUAAUAUUUAAACUAAUUAAUAAAGAUAAAAAUAACACAAAUAACCUAUUUAAUUAACAUUUUUUAAUUAUAAUAAAAGAUGUAAAAUUGAUAAGUUCUCAACUUUAAACUACUUAAAAUAACAUAUAAAAAAUACUAUAAUUUAAUUUUUAAAAACUACAAAUUCAAAAUAGAAUAAUUAUUACUAUCAAAAGUAUUUUUUAUCGAGUAAUCUAAUAAUUAAAUUGAGUUAGAUUAUUUAAAAAUAUUUUUUAAUCAUAUGAACUUAUAAGUUACUCCUAGAGUACUUUGUCUUACUAAAAAUACACUUACACAUUUUAUUAUUACUAGUUUCUUUUGGGUGCUUUUCAAUUGGUAUUCUACUUGAACCUUUUAGAAUGUUAUUGUAAUUGGUUUCUCUACUUAAAUGUCUCUUUUUCCUAAAUAACCUUUUUUUUCUUCUCAGACAUUCUUUGCCUUACCCUUUUCCGGUUCUCUCUAAAACCGGAAUAAGAAAAGGUUUGUUUUUCCUUACCCUUUUCACUUCUUAGCUAUUAUAGCUAGCUAGAUUAUCUAUUAUCAAUUCUUUUCAAACAAACUCUAACUUCUUUUCAUAAGCUCUUUUCAUCUUCCCCUCACUGUUUGAUUAACUCACCACUCUAUUGCAGAGUUGAUCAUCACAGAAAUGGAAGAUAAUAAUGACCAUGAUUUCUUUUCACACAAAUUCCCAACAACCACCCAGGUAAAUUUUGUUUUGUUUUUCAUAUUAAAAAACCAAAACCUUAAACUAUGUCUAUGUUUGAAAAAUAUUUGUUAAGUGUUUUAUUUUUUCUGUACUAAAUUUGUUUGAUGAAAACUAAAUUACUAAGGUGGUGGAAGAGUUGAAGGAGCUAUGGAGCAUGGCGUUACCGAUAACAGCUAUGAACAUGCUGGUUUUCGUGAGAGCUGUUGUUUCUGUUCUUUUCCUUGGUAGACUCGGUAGUUUAGAGCUAGCUGGUGGUGCACUCUCCAUAGGCUUCACAAACAUAACAGGGUACUCUGUUCUUGUCGGUCUUGCAUCUGGUCUUGAACCUGUUUGUAGCCAAGCUUUUGGCAGCAAAAACUGGGACCUUCUUUCCCUUUCACUACAACGAAUGGUGUUCAUACUUUUAAUGGCCAUAAUACCGAUUAGUCUUCUUUGGGUUAACCUUGAAAGAAUCAUGCUGUUCAUGGGUCAAGACAUUGGGAUAACUGAAAUGGCGGCGGUGUAUUGUUUCUAUUCUCUGCCGGAUCUUUUGACAAACACGUUGUUACAGCCUCUAAGGGUUUUUUUACGGUCGCAGAAAGUGACAAAACCGAUGAUGUAUUGUUCGUUGGUGGCGGUUGUAUUUCAUGUUCCUUUGAAUUAUUUGUUGGUGGUGGUGAUGGGGCUGGGUGUGCCGGGUGUGGCUAUGGCGUCGGUGUUCACGAAUAUGAAUAUGGUGGUUUUGAUGGCGGUAUAUGUGGGGAUGUUUAGGAAGAAGGAGAUGAAGUUGAGAUGGAGUUGUGGUGGUGGUGGCGGUGGCGGUGGCGGCGUUGUUGGUGGUGGUUUGGGUGAGUUGAUGAAAUUGGCAGUUCCGAGUUGUUUGAUGAUAUGUUUGGAAUGGUGGUGGUACGAGAUUGUAACUGUUAUGGCUGGUUAUUUGGAGAAUCCAACGUUGGCGGUUGCUGCUACUGGGAUUUUGAUUCAGACAACAAGUAUGAUGUAUACUGUUCCUAUGGCUCUUGCUGGUUGUGUCUCUGCUAGGGUAUGUUUCUCUUCUCUUUACUUCCAUUUUCUAAUUUAUUUUUCGAUUCAAUUAGUAUUCAUAGUAAUGCAGAAAUAUUCAAUUAUAUGAUUUACCUUGUUAGAUCAAUUUAGUUGAUAGUAGUGCGGCGGAGACAUUUAAUAUUUGUUGGAAGAAUGAAUCCUAACUUUGUGAUAACUCUUAAAUUACUAUAUCAAAUAAUCUAUAGUCCAUUUAAAAUUGGAUGAAAUGAUAAUUUUAAUAUCAUAUCAUAUUAUUAAAAUAUAAAUAUUAUUCAGAUGAAAAAAAUAUUAAAUUUUAACUUUUUAAAAAUAAAUAAGUAGAGUAACACAUAAGACAUAUGUUUGUGUCUUCUAUUAACUAAUUUGAUAUUGGUCCAUCAAAUUAUUAUAACCAAAAUAAUACUAAAAAUUAUUUUUAUUAUUGUUUGGAUAUAUUCAGGUACCACUAUAUCUAGUAACUAAAAUGAUUAUUUUAACAUUUUAAAGGUCUCCAUAUUGAAAUCUUUGUUUGGAGGGAAUAUAUAAUGUGUAUUCAACCUUAUUUUAUUUUAAGGUUUUACUUUAGAAGCCAAAAGGAUUUGAUAGCAAUAACGAAUAUUUUUGUAUAUUUUCCACUUGGAAUAAUAUUGAGUGGGGUGACAUGAAGAAUUAUAUAGAAAAUAGUGAGAGUAAUGGAGUGACUUUGAUUUUUAUACUCUAUAUGUGACUAGAUCUUUUUACUUGCACUCCGAAAGUAUAUAUUUUUCUUAAUUGAAGGAAUAUAUAGAUAAUAAAUAAAGUUUGAAUUUUUUUUUUAAAUAAAGUCAAAAUAUCUCCACAUAAGACUAAAUCACAUUUGCACACUGACUUGAUUCCUAACAUGCUUGAAGAGGCAAAAUAAUGACUUUUUCCUUGAUAUGCUUGUAGAUUCUACAAAAGUUGUUAUAUUUUCAAAAAUAGAUUUGGUUUGAAUUUAUUUAUUAAUUUAAUCAUAUUUUUAUUCUAUGCAAUUUUUGUUUUUUAUUCUUUUAUUCCCUGUAGCUAGUCAACUAAAAAUGGAAUUAAAUGUCAACCUCAAACCCUGAUUUUCUUGAUAUUGUUUUUGUCUUACGAAUCACUGUCCUUUAGUUGUUUCCAACUACUAGAAAAUCUAAAUUUUAAAUUGUUUUCUUCUAUAAAUAAAUAAUUUGAAACAAAAAUUAAAGAAUUAAUAGUUUGUAUAAAAAAAUUAAAAGAUUAGUGCUAAAACAAAAGUAAUUAUUUCCAAAUUUUUUCUCUAUCUUAUCAUACCAAAUACACGUGUGAAGAUUUUAUGUUGUUAUUUUUUUUAAGUUAUCGUCUUCAAUCAUUCAACUUUUUCCUUUGCUUUUUCUUAUAUUCCUUUUGAGCUAAUCAUAAUAUUUGGUUUCUGCUUAAUGAGGUAUAAAUUAAAUUUGUUAUAUGAUUGCGUAAAGUACAAGGACCCAUUUGAGUUAAGUCACACUUGUAAUGUGAUUCCACAAAACUAGAAGUAAUUAAUCACUUAUAAGUGGAAUUCUGUUUGGCUUGCACAGGAACUCCAUCAUCAUGCAUUUCUAUUUUACCAAAUAUUCUAACUAUCAAAUCUAAAAAAGCAUCCCAUUUUCUUUGUGGGACUCAUUCAAUGAUAUUUUAUCAUGUAUUACACUUUAGAUUUUAGUUUAGUAUAUUUUAAAUUACAUCUUAAUUUUAUUAGUUUUUAAUGUAGUGUUUGUAAAAUUGUGAUGUGAUGUUAAUCAUGUUUGCUAUAUUAUUUUUAAUUAAAAUAAUCAUACUAUUUUUUAUUCGUUUUUAACAUAUUUUCAAACAAUAAUCUUUUAUGAUUAUUUUUUUGAGUUAUAAUUUGUCAUAUCACUGUUUUGAAUAGCUUUUUUUUUUUUAAAAAUCGAUACAAUAAAAUAGAGAAUUUUUUUUAUAUAAAUUUUUUAUAAAUGAUUGAAUAUAAACAACAAUUUUUUUUAGAAUCAAUAACAUAUUCUCUUUAAUUUAUAAUUAGAGUAAUUAAUAAAAUUUUCUAUUUAAUAAAUGCAGGUAGGGAAUGAGCUUGGAGCAGGUAAACCAUAUAAAGCAAAGCUAGCAGCCAUGGUUGCAUUAGGAUGUGCAUUUGUGAUGGGCUUCAUCAAUGUAACAUGGACCGUCGUCCUUCGAUACGGUUGGGCCAGACUUUUCACAACCGAUGAACCCGUCAAAGCCUUGGUUGCAUCCGUCAUGCCAAUAAUGGGCCUAUGCGAGCUCGCAAACUGCCCACAAACCACCGGUUGUGGCAUCCUCCGAGGCACUGCCCGACCCGUCAUAGGCGUGAACAUCAACCUAGGAGCAUUCUACUUUGUCGGUACCCCGGUGGCGGUAGGGUUGGCAUUUUGGUUCAGGAUUGGGUUUAGUGGGCUUUGGUUUGGGCUUUUAUCAGCCCAAGUGGCAUGUGCUUUAUCAAUUCUAUAUGUUGUGAUUGUACGUACGGAUUGGGAAGCUGAGGCAUUGAAGGCAGAGAAACUAACAAAGGUUGAGAUGGUAACUUAUAAUGGAAGUAAGAAUAAAGACGUAGUAACAAAAGAGGAAGAAUGCAAGGGUUUGUUGGAAAAUGUAAAUGGGAACAAAAUUGACAUUUGCUAAAAAGACAUCACAACCUAGAAUAGAAUGAUAUCUAUUAUGAGAUUUGGAUUUUGUUUGUUGGUGAUAAAGAUCAUAUACUGUCACCUAGUAUAUUGGAUAGUGAGGUUUAUGAGUGGUGCGUGCAUCUAUGUUAUGGGUUGGUUACUUUUGAAGAGUAUAUGUUGUUUUCUUUAAUCUAUCGUAUUUUCUUUUCAUUUUUUGAAAAGUUCUCAUGAGGAACAAUGUCUCACUUUAUGUACUAACAUGGUUUCAAUUAUCGCAUGAAUUUUUUUGGACGAGAUUUGGACACUUCAUAUAAUACUUACCCUAUUCAUUCUGAAGUGUCGUUCACGGUUUUUAAGGAAAUAAUUAGACGUGUUGGUUUUGAUCAUAAAACUAUUAACAUUUUUUAGAAUAUUUCUAUUAAUUUUAAUUAAAAAAGUGGUUGGAUAAAGUGAAAGUUAAUAAAAGGAAUAUGAUAUGAAAAAAUAAUAAUAAAUAUUAUAUUGAUAUGGUAAAAGAGGUGAAAAUAAGACAUUUUUUACGAGAAGGAGGGAGUGAUCAUUAUUAUUGCUUUUCAGAUAAUUCUUUUAUCUAUAAUACUCUUAAUUAUUUAUUAGAUUUAUUUUACUCUUUUUUUUUGUAAUAAUUAUUUAGGAUAAUUUUGACAAAAAUAUAAUUAAUACUAUUUUGAACUUUGGAAGUGAUAAUUAAAAAAAAAUAUUUUUCUUCAAGAAAAUGAUACUUAAAAAGAAACGGAAAGAAUAGAUAUUCAAUAUUUUUAUUUAAUUUUAAUUUUUUUCAAUUUAGUCUAGUAAUAGAUAUUGAAAGUUGGGAUACACCCCCUCCCCUCCCAUCCCAUGACUGUAACUAUUAUAAAUAUUUUUUUUAAUAUAUUUGAUAAUUAAUAUAUAUAAUUUAUAUAUGAAUUAGAUAGAUUAACUAUCCAAUGAAUUAAAAAAGUCAAAUUUACUUAUAAUAAUAAUUAGAGGAUAUAUGAUUAAGAUAUUUAAAAAUUUUAAAUUUUAUUAAUAACUUUUUUUAGAAACAAAUUUGUUUUGUUGACGUGAAAAUUGUAUCUAAAUGAAAGAUUUUUUCAUUUGUCAAUAACGAAUUUUAUUUUAAAAAAUUGACUUUUAAAAAAAAACAAAGUUAAAAGAAAGAAAAUGAGAGUAAGGAUUAAUCUCUCCUGUUUGAAAAAUUGUUCAUUGAAUUUUUAUAAAAACAAAUUGGGUGAUUCAUACCGGUUCUCAUCGAUUUGAUUGCAUGGCGGAUUUAAUAGUCGGUUUGGAUCGGUUACUCUUUCCUUACUUCGACUGAAUCAACAAUCGGUUGAUUAGAGGUUAAUUAAAUAAAAAAUUUGAAUGAGUUAUUCAUAAGUUCUCGGAUCGAUCGAUUCAACGGAUGCGAGCCGAUAUUUAAAACUCUAUAUUUCUAAUUAUUGAAUAUCUAUUCUUUGUAAUUUAUCUUUUAAUUUUAAUCAUUUUAUUUCUAUUUAUAUAAAUAAAAAAUUGAUUAUAUAUAUAUUUUUUAUUUCAUUUUUUUCAAAUUAUUAAUUUAUAAAUUUUAAUAAAUAUUUUUAUAUUAAUACAUUAAUACAAAUAAAUAGUCUCUUAAAUCAAUAAUCUAUAUUUAUUUAAUUCAAUUAUCAUAUGUGUUACUUAUCAUGUUUUGUCAUAUUUCCAUUAACUAGUAUCAAAUAUAAACCAUGAUUUAGUUUAUCAAUAUAAAGUCAUACUAGUAAUAUUUUGGGAAGAUGAGAAAUAUUUGUGGCGUGAAAAAGUAGCUUAUAUUAUGUGUUGUGUGACAAUUGCAUGAAGAUAUAGGUGAAAUGUGAAAAUCUGCGUUCUGACAUUUGAUAAUUUUGAGAUAUACGGCUGAGACGUAGAGAUCAAACAGAAGACAGCUUUUAUGCUAAAGCUGUUCUACAAAAGCAGGACUUAAUUAUAAUGCCAGCGGCGUAACAAUUCGUAGAUCAGAGUAGGGAGGGUGGCUCAUGCAGCCUUACAUAUUGUUCACUCCUUUUUAAGAUACUAGUAUCUGAUAUGAUUGCUGUUGUUUCACUAUUUUUAUAUAUAGAUACAAUAUAAAAAUAAUAAUUUAAUAAAAAUAAAGUUAUAUCUAUAUUAUAUACAUAAACCUUGUUAGACUAAUUUAUAUAUUUUAAAAAAUAUUGAUUUAUAAAAUUAAUAAUUUAUUUAUAUUGUAAUAUUUUUUAUAUUUUAAAAUGUCUUGUCAUUUAAAUUUUUUAGAUAGAUUAAAAAUUGAAUAAUAUUAUCCUAAGACAUUAUAAUUUUAUUAAAAUAUUAAAAAUAAUAUAAAGAAUAAUAAUUAAAGAUGCAAUUGAAAAAAUUAUACACGCCUUAUCAUUAUUAUAAACCAGAAUUUUUUUUUAGAUUUAUUAAAUAAUUAAUAUAUCUGAUAUAUAAUAAUGAUCAGAUACAUUAUUUAUUCAAUGAAUUAAUUUUUUUUUACUUUCUUAUAAUAGUGAUCAAUGAUAUAAUCAUUACUAUAUUCAAAAGUGAGAUUAAUAAUUAUUUUAAAAUAAAUUUUAUUUACUAAAAUAAUUAUUACAGAAAAUAAUUUAAAAUACAUUAUUUUAUAGGUUAACUUUACCGUUUACUUUGAUCUCUUAAUUUAAAAUAAGAAAUUAUAUUGAUUUCUUAAAUUUAAAAUAUACAAAUUAAUUAUUUUUGUCCAAGUAACAAUGACUUUUUUUAUAUUAAUCAUAAAAUUUAUUAUUAAUUAAAUAAAAAAGAUAAACAUAAAAUAUUUUAAAAAUUUAAGAGAUCACAUUUUUUUUAGUUAGAAGACUAAAAAUAACCUACAAGAUUAACGUAGAGAUCUACAAAAUAUUAAAGCUUUUUAAAAUAAAUAUUCUGUUUAAAAAGAGAUUAAUUACUAUAUACUGUCAGUUUAAAAAGUUUUACAUAAUCGAUUCAUCACCAUCACCCGAGGGGUCUAGGUUAGUUAAGGGUAUAUUAUAUGUUGUAAUAAUUUUCACAUAGUGUUAUUCUCUGGUUGUCUAUUAACAAUAGUCCUGGGUUUUUCUCCGAUUUUGGAGUUUCCACGUUACGUUCUUGUGUUGUGAUUAUGUUUCUUUUUUCUCUAUGCUUUGUUUUUUCCCCAACAACUGGUAUUAGAGCCCGGUUCGAUCCGGAGAUACGUGUUCUUAGUAUGCUUUAUGGUUGCAGUUUUGUCUGAUCUUCCACAUAAGAAAAGAAUCAUACCAUAGUCAAAACAUCCAAGGAACAUAUAACACCAACAUUUCCUCAUACCAUAGCCAAAACACUCAAACAUCAUACCAUAGCCAAAACACCCAAACACCGCACCAUAGCCAAAACACCUAAACAUCACAACAACCAUAUGACUAUCAAACACCACAAUAACCAUUUCAACAUUUCUCUAACGAACCAUUCACACCAAUGCUCCCUCCAAUCGUCCAGGUCGCACACCAAUGACCUCAUGAACACAUCCAGACUACUCUGACAUAGGUCGCAAACUAAGUUACGAUAGUGUGUCGCUUCAUACACAAGACUUCUUAGAAAUUCAAGAACUUCUUAGGGAUUCUGGUGAUGUUCAUAAGACCUAAAAUCCUCAAACACAUAGAGUGAAUCAACAAUGAGUGCAACAAGUUACGAUAGCUAGGGGGUAUGGAACCGAUGACCGGUAUAACCAACCUGAUCGUCAUCGUUAGUUUCUGUAAAAGUAUUUUUAAUUAAAUAUUAAUUUUUAUUAUUUAUACUAAAAUAAUUCACAAUGUACACGGGUGUUAGGCCAAUUGACACCUCCAUUUAAAAUAUGUACAUUGACGCCAAUUGAAUUGUCAACACCAUGUAAUUCCAAUUGGCACAUCCAUUAUAAAAUAUGGAGUUGCCGCCAAUUCGUCUGCCAACAACACUUCGUCCCAAAAAUUCUUUGUUUGAAAGUGGGGUACUUUAAGAGUUUGUUUGAAACAUGUGUUACUUUGUGAAUUAAUUUUAAAAAUGGGUUAUUUGGGUAAAAAAUGGACUCUUCCGACCCAUAAUUGAGUGAUCAAUUUGCAAGAAAAAAAGUUUCAAAAUGAAUGAUUCAUUUCAAUAUGUAAUACAAAUUAUUAUUUUUUUCAAUUAUACUAUUUAAUUAUUAUUAUUUUCAUAAGUUUCAAUAGUUAAUAAUAGACACUUUAGUAAAACUAUUGUUUUCUCUCUUUUAUUUAUUUAAUUUUUUUAAUAUGUGUGAACUAAUUCGUUGAGUCAUUUAUCGUGAGACAGAGAGAAUUACAAAUAGUAUAAUAAAUUAAUGAUAAUUAUAAAAUUUUAAAUUAUAUUUUAAAUCAUAGUAUUUGAAUACAUCAAUUUGAUGAGACGUGUCAGAAGAAACAAUGCUAAAAGAAAAUACAACUCUUUUUAUCUGUUUUUCUAAUUGUUAUUAUUAAAGUUUAAUGUUAUUUUUUAGUUAUUUAUUGUGGUAACUUUUAUUUUAUUUUUACUACAUUAUUCUGUUUUAUAUGUUUUUAGGGAUUAAUUACUAUACAUUGUCCGUGUAAAAGGUUUUACACUGUCGAUUCAUCACCAUCACCCGUUUGUAUUACUCUAUAGGUUUUUAAAAUAAAAGUUAAGAUUAUUUUAAUAUCCAAUGUCUAUGAUUAACUGUAAAAUCCUUUUAAAUUGUCAGUGUAUAUCAAUUAAAUUAUUUUUUUAAAUUCAAAUUGAAGUUAUAUUUGAAAUAUUGAACUUUGUCAAUAUAAUUUUAAUUUAAUAAAAUACUAUAUCAAAUAUUAACUUGAGUGUAUAUUUCAAAUAUUACACCAUUAUAAACUUCAUUAUGUAUAAAUACCUUAUAUUAAUAUUACUUUAUAUUCUAAACACUAUAUUAAUAUUUAUAUGAUGAUAAUUAUAUUUUAAAUAUUUUUUUCUCAUGACUUUAUUCUACUGGAAGGGUCUCUUACUAGUAUAAUUGCAAUAAUAAACGAGUGCAUAACAAUUAAAUUGAUUUGAUACAAAUCUGUAAUUUAUUAAUGUAAAUUGGUUUAGACAUGGACGAAGAAUGUAAGUUAAAAUUUUCAUUUUACGAAACAAACCCUGAAGUUUAGGAGUCCACCCGAGUGAAAACUCUUGUCCCUUGAAAGAGAGUAAAAAUACAGAGAGAGAUGAAAAAUUGAGAAUAAUCCUAGGAAGAAAGACGAGAUAGAUUAACAAUUUCGUUUCGAGAAAAAAAUGGAAGAAGCAAAGGCAAUGCAGCAGCAGCAGUUGAUCCAAGAACAACAUCGACAACAACAACAACAACAACAUUUUCUGCUCUUACAGCAAUUGCAAAAGCAACAGCAAUCAUCCGCAAUUUCUCGCUUCCCUUCCAACAUUGACGCUCACUUGCGUCCCAUAAGACCCCUCAAUCUUCAACAAAACCCUAACCCUAACCCUAAUCCCAUUCUCAAUUUACACCACAACCCUAAUUCAAACCAUCUACCUCAGCAACAGCACCAAAAGAUUAUUCGACCCCCCGGGAAUCAAAUCGAGCUCCAGAUGGCUUACCAAGACGCCUGGCGGGUCUGCCAUCCGGAUUUCAAGCGACCCUUUUCUUCUCUAGAAGAUGCCUGCGACAGGUUCUUUCUCUCAUCUCUAUUCAGUGCCGUGAUUCGUGGAAAAUGCUAAACAACUUAGCAUGACCCAUCUUUCGCUAUAACUACCUUUUCAAAUUCCAACUAUAUUUUCUACUUUUUUUCAUACUUCCAUUUUCUAUAAAAUUUAUGCAAUGUGGUUAUGGCUCUUUUCUUCAAGUUAAAUGACAAGUCAAACUGUCAAUUGUAUUUCAUUAGUAUUAGUAUUAGGAGUAUAGACUAGUAUCAGGGCUACCUAUAGCAGCUGGUUGUCAGGUGUUUCACACCGGUCAUUGGGUCACUACAGCUUGUUCAAACUCAUCCUUUGCGUCGUCAAAUUCAUGCUUCUGAAUAGAUUUCCCUGUUGCGUUGCCCAACAAGUAAAAAUGUUUAUUCAGAAUUGUCAAGAGUCCCAUAUUGGAUGAGAUAAGGCCCAAAAGCAUUUUUAUAUAAGUCUGAGCUAUUCCUCAUCUUACAAGUUUUCGUUAGGUUGAAUUCUAAGAUUUUACUUUUCUCCAAACUGAUUUAUAUUUGGAAACUUUUACUUAAUGAUAUUGAAUUUUGUGCUAGCAAAAUGUAAGUAUGGGAUGUUAUUGCUAGUUUUUCUUACUGUAUGUUUGGUUCUGCGGUGAGUGGUUCUGCGGUGAGGAGAAUUGAUUCUAAGUGAAUUAAUUUUGUAGAAUUGAUUUUGAUUAAAAGUGAAUUGGAUGUAAAGUGAUUUAUGUUUGGAUACAUUUCUAUAAAACUGAGUUGAACAAUAAAUUUCAAUGUAAAAAUCACGUUUAAAGUCAAAAGCUACAAAUUGUAGUUUCAAGGAGAAUCAAUCAUGGAGGCCGAACAAUUCUACUUUAGAAAAACCAAACACCUCAGAAUCAUUAAAGAAUCAAUUUUGCACCUCUAGAAUUGCUUUUGCCUAUUCCAAAAGCCAAACCAAACAUACACUCAACCUUAUUGGGAUAAAAACUAUGUUGUCAAUCUCGGAUAGUGAAGCGGAGCAGAUGAUCUCAAAACUGGGAUAGCAGGGAGAUGGGUGGCCAUUAUUUAAUAAAUUUUGGAAUUAUUAUAAAUUAACACUAAUAAACACAUAACUUCUGAAAAAUGAAACACUUUACUCAAAUCAUGAAAUAGUAAGAAUUAAAAAUAAAAGUCACAGCUCUUAAUCAAAAGAUACUUGUAAAUAACAACCUAUGAAGCUCCGACACGCCAUUCACACGACGUGUCGCCGUGUCCGACACGUGUACGACACGUAUCAGACACGUUUUUGAAGUGUCCAACGAGAAAAAAAUAUUUAAUUGUUGUGGACACGGAUACGGCACCUUAUUUAAAAUAAAGGACAUGACCCAAUUCAGAAAAUUCCAGAAUUAAAAAAAAAAAAACUCAACUCAAUUUUUCAAAAUUUAAAAAAUAAAUAAGUUUUUUAGCUUUCAUAUUCCACUUUUUUACUAUAAAAACAACACAAUUAGAAUUUCUUAUUUUUUUAUAUUUCACUUUCACUGCUUUUGUCUCCACAAAAUUCUUUUAUCUUCUCCGGUUAUUUUCAUCUUUGCACACCAUUGCUUCGGUUUUCACAAGGAAUAUAUGAAUAUCAAUUAUCAUGUUUGAAAGUAUUGAAAGAAUUUUUUAUUGUUUUAUCUUAAAUAAAUAUAAAUUUUGCUUCUCAUUUUAAAUUCUUUACAAAUUUUGCCCAUAAAUUAUAUUAUUAUAUUAAUAUAUAAAAUAUAUAUAGCCGUGUCCGUGUCCUAUAAUUUGUACAUUAGUGGGGUCCCCGUGUCCGUGUCCGUGUCGUGUCCCGUGUCCGUUCCGGGCUUCAUAUUAACAACAAAGUUCAAGGAAACAUGCAGGUGAAGCCAAGCUUAAAUUAACUAAACAUCAAAACUCAAAUAAAAGUUCUCAUCAACAAAGCCAAUUAUCAGCAUCAUGACAUAACUUAGAUUUUUAAUCAAUAGUGUCUAAUGAAAGGACUUAUUUUAAAACUAAGAAACCAACGAAGAUUUGAUUCCCUAAUUACGACGAACUACAUACCGAUAUCCGCGUUAUUCAAUAUUUAAUCUAGAUCUCAUUUUAGUUUUACUUUUCCCCCUAAUCAUCAAAGUAUCAUCCGCCUUAGCUUUACGAAGUGACCUUAGAAAACGGUAUAUCGAUUCAUAAGUCCAUGUGGGAUCGAUAUCUUUUAUUACUACGCGAUUAGACUGUGCACUUGCCGUUAAUACCCCAAUAGACUCAUAAAGUCGCGAUUCAGUCCACCCGAGUGAAAACUCUUGUCCCUUGAAAGAGAGUAAAAAUACAGAGAGAGAUGAAAAAUUGAGAAUAAUCCUAGGAAGAAAGACGAGAUAGAUUAACAAUUUCGUUUCGAGAAAAAAAUGGAAGAAGCAAAGGCAAUGCAGCAGUAGCAGCAGUUGAUCCAAGAACAACAUCGACAACAACAACAACAACAUUUUCUGCUCUUACAGCAAUUGCAAAAGCAACAUCAAUCAUCCGCAAUUUCUCGCUUCUCUUCCAACAUUGACGCUCACUUGCGUCCCAUAAGACCCCUCAAUCUUCAACAAAACCCUAACCCUAACCCUAACCCUAAUCCCAUUCUCAAUUUACACCACAACCCUAAUUCAAACCAUCUACCUCAGCAACAGCACCAAAAGAUUAUUCGACCCCCCGGGAAUCAAAUCGAGCUCCAGAUGGCUUAACCAUCUACCUCAGCAACAGCACCAAAAGAUUAUUCGACCCCCCGGGAAUCAAAUCGAGCUCCAGAUGGCUUACCAAGACGCCUGGCGGGUCUGCCAUCCGGAUUUCAAGCGACCCUUUUCUUCUCUCGAAGAUGCCUGCGACAUGUUCUUUCUCUCAUCUCUAUUCAGUGUCGUGAUUCGUGGAAAAUGCUAAACAACUUAGCAUGACCCAUCUUUCGCUAUAACUACCUUUUCAAAUUCCAACUAUAUUUUCUACUUUUUUCAUACUUCCAUUUUCUAUAAAAUUUAUGCAAUGUGGUUAUGG
rnacentral:lncRNA from 1 species